rnacentral:lncRNA from 1 species
UCCAUGGUGGUGGCUCCCUUUUUCUUCUUUUAAUUUGUUAACCCAAAAUUAAUCUUUGAUUGCGCAUUGAUAUCAGAACCUGUUUGAUCUGAGUAAUCCUGGAUUCUUAUCAUGAGAAUUGUUUCAAGUGUAUAUGGACAAGGGAGUUAUGCCCCAUAGAUAAUUGUCUUUGGUGUUUACCUAGUUUGUUCUACCUUCUUUACCUAAGUUUCUCUCCAAGUAAGGUAUCUUUUUUGGUCACCUUCCUUGUCCUCUCUCACUCGAUUCUCUGUGUUUGUAAGAUAGUCCUGGCGUCCUGCACAAGCAAACAAGGUGGCUUAAAUUACCAUCACCAGCUAGUCACAAUGUAGGACCUCAAUCACACUCAAAUUGCAUCUCAUCAUAAAAGACUUUUAAAGAUUGACAGGACCUCUGAUCAACCACUCCUCUUUGCAAGUUCUCCCCAGGAUUGUGUGGUGCCAAUAAUUUUGCUUCCCCUUCCUGUUACCUCCAUCCCAC